rnacentral:rRNA from 1 species
UACGUAGGGUGCGAGCGUUUGUCCGGAAUUAUUGGGCGUAAAGAGCUCGUAGGCGGUUUGUCGCGUCGACUGUGAAAGCCCGGGGCUCAACCCCGGGUCGGCCGUCGAUACUCUCGUGCUUGAGCACUGUAGAGGCAGGUGGAAUUCCGAGUGUAGCGGUGGAAUGCGUAGAGAUCCGGAAGAACACCGGUGGCGAAGGCGGCCUGCUGGGCAGUAGCUGACGCUGAGGCGCGACAGCGUGGGGAGCAAACAGG